AAGGAUGAACUUGUCACCAGUAGCCCUCUACAUAUCCAAUAGUGCCAGAACGUAGAAUGGGUCCUGGUCUUUCUCUUACAUAGCAUAACAUAACAUUCCAAUGUGCCAGAACGUAGAAUGUGUCCUGGUCUUUCUCUUACAUAGUGCCAGCAAACGUAGAAUGGGUCCCACUGGUCUUACAUUCCGUACCGUACAUAUCACAUCGUCACAUCAUAGAUCGAGGGCUAUGGAUCAUCCAACGUUCAUCCACAUCAACAACAAUAAAGUAUGCAAUGCAACAUAUUCGUGAAUUCUAAUGCAAACAACCUAGUAUAUCUCAUGGCAUUAAUG
rnacentral:lncRNA from 1 species